GAGAGAGAGAGAGAGAGAGAGAGAGAGAGAGAGAGAGAGAGAGAGAGAGAGAGAGAGAGAGAGAGAGAGAGAGAGAGAGAGAGAGAGAGAGAGAGAGAGAGAGAGAGAGAGAGAGAGAGAGAGAGAAAUCGAGGUGAGGUAAGCUAACCCUCGCACACAACCAGCUCCCUGUGCCACCCACUGUCCGAUGUUGUUAUAAGAAUGGUAGUAGUGAAGGUAUUAAUAACAUAUACAUUGUUGUUGUAGUCGGCGCCGCUCUGGUGCAGUUCUCCUUCUCUUGUUGCCGCACCUCCAAAACAACUCGGCGACGUUGGGUACGAAGGGAAGGACUUGUUGGUUGACAUCGGAGGCAGUUAAGUAUCCAGGACCAAGCUUAGGUACCUGGGUUUCCGGCCCGCCCUUCCUGGCUCAGAGGUUGCACUGUUUCCGCAGCCAGACCCUUUUCCUUCACUUCGUAUCUGACGAGGAAGUGGUUUUGCGAGUGUUCUAAAUUCUCACAUUGUUCUCCAUUUCUGUACGGGUUUGUGGGUGGUGUGGACUAUUGCGGGCGUGAGUUAGAUGCCUUACCCGUCCUGUGCCGGCAUGGACUGAGGCGCUGACUGAAUGGCACUAUCUGUUUGGCUGCGUGCAUUUGAGUGAGCCGUAAAGAAUCGCUCACGCAAAGGAAGUGAACACGUCGGCAGAACAAAAGGAACACUAUCUGCUGUCUUGUUUCUCUAUUGCUGGAUGCCUGAGUUUUCUCGUCUCCCGAGUCUGACGUACCGGUGUACUUUUGAAAUCGUUUUUUCCAGAGUUGUACAGUAAGAUGUAACAUUUUAAUCUUUAGAACCAAUAUGACAAUAAGGGAUUACAUGUGUUGGAAUGACAAUGAAUUUUGUUUAGAUGAAAAAGUAGAUAAAUUUUACUCAAAAGGACGAACUUUGUUGCCUUAUAUAGGAUGACUUAAAAAAAUUGCAGGAACUUCAUUCUGUUUCGAACAUUUCUGUACUUUUCAACUUCUUCAAGCAGACGAUAAUAAUUGUUGUACGUACACAUUGUCCUUCCAUAUCUAAGACACUUAAAUGUAAACAAAAAAGGGUUCUGCCUAUUAGUUCCUGUUCGCCGAUAGAGCCAAUGGAAAAACGAGUUUAUGUAAGAGUAUAAGAAAUACUAAAAAAGCUAAAUAAGAGUUUUUUGCCUUGAUUGGUUUUCUUUGUAAGAUUCCCAUGGCCGAGCGCGAGAGUUUCUCCAGUCCGUCGGCGCCCUUCUGCUGCCCAAACCUUAUCCACACGGACACACACACAACCAAACUUGAACAAAAGAAACGAUUUAAUUAAAACAAGGCAUAGUAAAAGACGAAUGAAAAAACAAAACAACACGAGUUUAUCUCUAAAUUUCAAAAGUUAAGUACAACUCAACAGUCAGGCCGGCCAAGACUAAAGGGCAGAAGGUUCGGGACGGACUGGGGAAGUUCCUGUGGCCAACGGGUGACUAAGUGUGCUUGUAUAUACGGCAUUGACCUUGGCGGUCCGGCUUCGGGGAGGAGCGGAAGAGGAGGCGAGCGUAUGACCUUAGCCACUACCACAACUACAUCAACCACCAACCACACUACUAUCAGUUAUUUACAGAACCUACUUUCAUGACUAAAUAUUACCCAUAAGGUAAUGGCGCCCUUGACUCCUGUGCUCACUAAAGCAAUGUCAUUUACAUAAGACUAAUGAAGACGCGCGCGCGCGCAUACACACACACACACACACACACACACACACACACACACACACACACACACACACACACACACACACACAUUACGAGACUACCAACACUACCACCGAGUUUAAUUUCGAACUGUCUUAUUAAUCUUGGCACGCGCUCACACACUCACAAACACUCACACACACACACACACACACACACACACACACACACACACAAAGAAAGUUGGACGUCCACGUUACGCUUCCUCUCCUCCAUUUCUUCCCCCACCACCGGUACCCAACAUGGUGUGCUAGAGUACUCCUGUACCUGACUCUACGUUAAGCACCGACGCAGCUCCUGUGCUCUUUAACUCUCGACUCCUCUCGGUUUCUGAAAGUGCCCACGAGUAACUCUUAGUCUCAUUCGUUUCUGCAAACCAACUUCUCUCUUAAUGAGUGACUUAGAUUCACUUUGUUGGACUUCUUCUUGAUAGCACACACACACACACACACACACACACACACACACAUAGAAGAACUAUGUCACUUUUCCUGCAUCUCUCUCACAGACUUCCUCUUCUUUGUUGAGAGCACUUGUAAUUUUUAAUCUAUUUUUGAUGGACAAGAACACCACCCCUUAGGAAAGCCUACUCCGGAGCACGGGAUUGGAGUCGUUGCGCGGUGAACUGGAUUGUUAUACCAAUCUGAUAGCUGGAUAAGGGUUCCAACUGUGUACAGUACUUCUUCGGUACCUGGCGACCUGCUAUGAGUGAGUGUCACAUGUCAUACCAAUGUAUACGGGCCAACUCUAUUUUACUUAUAAAUCCGGCACAAGAUCGGGGUUGAUGUUUUCAGAUGUUUAGUUUUAUGAGUCCCUAACAUUUGACUCCCGACUUCUGCACACAGGAUCAAAAGAAACAUAUGUAACUCAUUGAUGAUACAAGUGUUUUGACUCAACAACCUUAAAAAAGUAUGCAAAAUUUGAGACUUAAAAGCCAGUCAAUGAAUAGUGCAGCUAUAAACAGCAUCAAGACUCACACGCUCAUACCAGGUGGCCAGGGAGCUUUUAAUUGUGUAGAGAGAAGAAAAUACAACUUUUGCAUCGAUUCCUGAUUCUGUCGACUGAUACAUUUUCUUCAGAAGCUCACUGUAAACUAGAAACAAAAUAAAAACAAGAAGGGCGUUGCCUGUUAAUUUUGUAUCAAUGAUAAUAACACUAGGACCGCAUGAUGCAGUACGUACGUAGGGUAGUGGUUGACGGAGGAAUCCGACUGUCCUGGUAUAGCAGCGGGCACGAAGGGGAAAGCCUGAGGAGCGAGUGAGGGUCUCCUUGCUCCGGGCGGGAAUCUGAUGUCAGAGCGGCUGGCAGCUCUGCCCGAUAUUCAUUUGUCAUUAUUGUUGUUUAUCAUUGAACGGAGAGCAACAAACAUGGUGAUAAAAAUUUUUGGCCGGUUGGAAUGGUGUUUUGAUUAUUAUUGUUGAUUAUUGACAUGUGUAAUGUGUAUAUGAUUCUAUUUCGUCUCUCUUCGCUAAGCCAUUGUAAAUCGGGGACAGAGCAGGAAAGAUGUUACUGUAAUCAGUGUAAUGAAGUGAUAGGAUGUACAUUUUCUUUAUUUGUUUAUGUAUGGAGGACUUGUAGGGUUUGUAAGAGAAAGGUUUUUCACUAUUGUUGUAUAACUCUGGUAAGAAAAAUUAUUGGUAUGUCGAUACAUAUUAAGGACUUUUUUUUACAUAAAGUACUCUAGUGUUAUAAACAUAGAUUUUCUCAAUAUUUGACACGUAAUACUGAUAAUGUUUCACAUCUGAGUAACAAUGGUACGCAUGAUGUAAUCUCGAGUACGUGUGUGUAGGUGUGUACUCCAUUGAAUAAUGUGCUAUCAAUAUCAGCAUUGCAACCCGAAUUACACACACUCACACAUACACACACUGGUAAGAAAAUAAAAUCCAAAUUCUAAAAAAAAACUAUGCAUUGGUGCUACACAAUAUUUAUUAUCAAAUUUGAGGUAUGUAAAAGGUACAUUCUUUACGUAUUUAUGAACAUUUCCUAAUAUAUUUCUAAAGACUCCUCGACAAAAACCUGAAAAAAAAUUACAUAAAAAGAACAACUAAUGAUGGAAUACAAAAAAGGACAAAAGGGCAAAAAAAAUAAAUGUAAGAGGAAAUGUUACGUAACAGAGUAAAGGUGAAGGUGUGUGUCAGGUGAGGACAAGGCGGCGGCCAGGUAAGGACAAGUAAGGUAAGGUAGGAAGGGAUGGCCGAGGGGACAGCGUGAUGCUACAAGUAUAGAGGGGAGUGUGUGAUGCCUGGGGUGACGCAGAACAUGGCCAACUGAAGGGAGCAAGAGGGGUGGGGAGUGAGGGGAGCAAUACCAUCCGUAACUCUCUCCUCCCUUCCCUUCCCCUCUAACCGAAGAACAAUACCCACUACGAGGGAAGAGAACACAAAAAUUGUUUUUUUUCUUUCGUUGUACAAGGAACACCAAACCUUAAACAACAACAACAACAACAACAACAACAACAACAACAACAACGGAAAAAGAGAAACAAAAACAAUCAAUCAUACAAAUUAGACAAAGUAUUCAUAUGAUCUGGAUUUAAAAUACUAGUCAUUCCCAACCACACACACACACACACACACACACACACACACACACACACACACACACACACACACACACACACACACACACACACACUUACAAUUAAAGUAUAUCCAUAAAAGAUAACACAUCUAUGACUAUCAUCUCUGCAACAACAACAACAACAAUAAUAAUAACAACAACAACAACAACUAUAAUCAACAAAAGCGCUAUCACCAACACCAAUCAAGGCCUACUAAAUACAACUGACCGCCACAAACCCCACACCCUAAAAAACAAAAAAAAACAAAACAAAACAAAAAAACAAACAAACCCAGACUCAGUUAAACGUAAAACUCUCAUAACUGCAAAUAAUUUUUCGGGUUCAAAGUCAACGUGCAAAAACGCCACAUAAAAACAGUAAACUCUGAGGUUGAAAAUAGCCAAAAAAAAAGAGCAAAAAAAGAAAAAAAAAAGAAAAAGAAAAAGGAAAAAAGAAAUGGUCUAGCGUCACUCCCCUCCCAUGGUAUGCCUCACGUUCUUGCCCCCACCGAUCGCCAUCUCUUCAGCCACCGCUUUUUACUUGUCCCGCUCCGCCCCUCCGCCUCGCCCUCCAGGGAUGUCGUGGUACUGUAUUAGCUAUCUGUUAGCGGUUCCUCGGUAUUAGAGGUGACGGGUCGGCUGGUUCACAGAAGGUAACUUGGCACCUCCAGAGGGAAGCCGGGACCAGGAACACACACACACACACACACACACACACACACACACACACACACACACACACACACACACACACACACACACACACACACACACACACACACA